AACGCACAUUGCGCCCUUCGGUAUUCCGUUGGGCAUGCCUGUUCGAGCGUCAUUGUAACCUUCAAGCUCAGCUUGGUGUUGGGUGCUUGUCCUCCCCCGCGGCGGACUCACCUCAAAUGCAUUGGCGGCCGGUAUGUUGGCUUCGAGCGCAGUAGAAACGCGCCUGGCGUCUUGACAUGCUGGUCCCCCACAAGCCCAUUUCUUUAGCUUGACCUCGGAUCAGGUAGGGAUACCCGCUGAACUUAA
rnacentral:misc_RNA from 1 species